UGUCUGUACGCAGCAAGAGCACGCUGGUACCCUACUGAACACAAUUACAAUAUAAUACUAGUACUACAUAGCAGCAGUACAUACUGCAGUACUACGUAGGAGUGUUGUCGGAGGGGUCGUUGAUGGGUCUUGGUCUCGAGACCGGUUUUGAGUCCACAUUUUGAAGGUCUCCGAAGUUGGAAUCAACUGCGUGUUUUUAAUCAGAUGAUGAGUAAAGGUUUUGGAGGAGUUUUUUGAUUGAGACAACGGAGGAGCACUCUCAGUACUCCUCCGUUGGGGUACCAAGACGUCUGAAAGGGUGCCAACAAGUUCAAGCUAUACACGUCGUUCGGUCAUUGGUCGAAAAAAUUGUCACUUCCGUGCAAAAGGGGGAUAAUAACAAACAAACACAGUACCCGCAAAGUAUGUCUGGACAACGGCGAAAGCUUAGUUUAUUGAAGAUAAUGCAGCACAAAGGUUUGCUGGACGUCCAUUGUUGCUCUUUGUUUAUUGUGUCGUGUUCUUCUUUCUCCUUGGAUUUCUUAGCAGGCUACACUGUGUCAGGCUGCUAUGAGGUCACGAUGUUUAAGUAGCUGCCGUGGCUAUCGCCAUCCGGCUUAAAUACCCACCUACCAUAAGGUUACCGUUGGCUGUGGAUACGCAAGCCAUGAAUGAGCUGGGCCAAACCGCACCUUCACUACUGGCCUAAGCGCAACCGCCGGAGGAAACGUGCCAUUAGAGACCACGACUGCUCUUACUUCAUUACCUGCCUGUGUAUUUUCUGGUUGAAUUAACUAACGAGGGAGAGAGCGCAAGUAGACGAGGGAGUGAGAACAAGGAGACAAUGUAGAGAACAUGAUUUACUUCUACCAAAAGAAGUGGUGAGAAAACCCUCAACAGAGUUUAAGAUCUGUAAAAUAACCUCUACAUGGACGGCUUGGACCACGUCAAAAUUCUAUCAUCCACUUGAACAAAGAAAUAAGGAAAUACAACCCCAAAACUUGCGGAAAAUCGAAUUGUGUCGUCAAAUCCGAAAUCGUACGCAAGGAACAUUUUCAGCUGACGAUUCACGGACAGUACUUGAGCCGCCGAUUCGACUCUCCGUCCAGACAGCAAGGGCGUGCAACAUUCACCACAGCACUUCGUCGGGGUCCAGCGGUAUGUCAGUGGGUUUUUCUCCGUCCAAAUUCUGUGCGUCAAAUCGGCGAAAGGAGGGAGGCCCGGCCGGACCGGGUGACGCGGUCGGAGGCAGCCGAGGGAGCCUUCGGUGACCUCAGACGAGCCCUCUGCUCGGAGCCCCGUCCUGAUAACCCCUGACCUCACUCUAUACCCCUGAUAGUCCCCACACCGACGCGUCUGAAGUGGGGGCAGGGAGCGGUACUCUCCCAGGUCCGGGUGGGAGAGGAACACCCGGUGACCUACAUCAGCAGAAAGCUCCUCCCCAACGAGAAGAACUAUUCCACUGGGGAGAAAGAGGCCCCUGGCCAUCAAGUUUGGGCCCCUGGACAAGCUGAGGUACUAUCUCCUGGGCCGGUGGGGGUUCACGCUCGUCACCGACCGUGCGCCGCUCAAGUGGACGGCCGGCGCGAGGGACUCAAACGCACGGGUGACGAGGUGGUUCCUGGCCCUCCAGGAUUUCAGGUUCCAGGUGGACCACAACCCCCGGGCCAGGCUGCCCCGAGGGAGAGCUCCGGAUCCGUCGGCCAAUCAGAUCGCGUUUAUGCAAGGUGGCGGGCCCGAUACGGACGGGAAGACACGACGAUCUAACGGACCGUCCCCCAGCGGUCCCGAGGGAACCCGCACGCCCGGACGACGUAUACGCCGACACCGAACGCACCGCUGGAACAGCGCUAUCGACGGGAGCGACCUCCCUCUCCCGGGACGAGACAGGCCCGGCCGGAGAGACACCUGGACCAGGACCCCACCGUGGCUCACGGAGUCAUCAGUAUGAUUUUUGUUUUUUUCCCCC
ensembl:lncRNA